CCACGUCUUUCUCAAUAAGGCAUUUCCUUUCCCUGAAUUUUGUGAAUCUUUUAGCCUGUGCCAAGGAGAUACUCUACAGACAAAAGUACAUCAACAGAAUUAUAUUCUGAAAAGGGUUUAGUUGAGACUUGAGAGCAUAAAGAGUUACGGCAAAAAAAUAAUGUCAAAAGAGAUGCGGUAUCCAUAAUCACAAUUCAUUAUUACAAAAUAUUAAUUAGAAAAGAACAUAGACAACAAAAGAGAUGUGUCUUCAUCCAGGUUCAGGUCAUCAGAUUUGUCUAGUUGCCAGGUUCAGGUAGCACAAUGCAGAAUUCAGUUCAAUCGGUGUAGUAAUGACCCAGGAACAAUUAUUCAGGCAGGGGGGGAUGUAGGUGAUAUAAAAUUCAUCAGAUGCAGUGAAGUGUCUCACAAGCAGUUUAGCAAUCUUUGGUUGAAAUUUGACCCAUUCCCAUAUUAACACAUUAGAUACUGCAUAACCACCAGUCUUGCACCAGUCAGUUUUUGUUAAACUGUUGAAUGGAAAGCCCUUCCAGCGUGACAACAUUUUUUAUAUGUGAAACACAAGAAACUAAUGAUCUAGCAGAUGAUAAAAUGGUUAUAAACCUCCAUAUAAUCAAUUGCACCUAAUUUAUAAUACAAAAAACUAUUUUCAAGUGAAUAGUGAGGAAGCAGAAAGAUUAAAUAUAUCAACAAAAAAGCAACGCUAGAAGCAAAUGAAAACCUGCCACUGGUUCUUUAUGGUCUCAUACUCUGACUUUUUAAUUGACUUCAGGAGUUCUCUCUCAGCAUACGUAGAUUCAUAUGAAUAGUACCCCAAAAGCAAACCCCAAACCUAUCAUCAUUUAUAUAAAGCCUUAUAAGAGGAAGUGCAUAUUUAAUUCAUAGUAAAAACAUUUAGCUUAAGGUAACCACAUAUACGAUAGACAAACCUCUUUUCGUAAAUUGUGGUCCGUUUCAGUUAACUCCAAGAAAGGCUAACGCUGCUAGAUUUUGAGAACAAACAUAAAAUGGAACCUCCAAACAUAUCAUCUUUAACAGAACCAAUUUUAUGGCACAGCCAAACAUUUAACAGCAUACAUAUCUGUCAUCAUACAUUCAUAACAACUGAAACUGAACUAUGUCAAUUGUAGCUUUUGAAGGAAUCUAACCUUUUAAAUUGAAUCAAAAUCCAGCGGAAACAAAAGAAAUAAUUCAAGCAGUCACCCUGCUUGAAAUAGUUAUGCAAUGGACUAUCUAGAAGCUCCACCAACUGCAGUAAAUAAAUAUACUAUUUGUUAAGAAUCACAAAUUACACCAAAAGCAAUGCAUUGAACAUCUAAAAGGGGAGGGUAGAUGUACAACGGCCUUACCCCCGCAAUGCAUUAUCUCAAUACCAGAUUUUCUACAAAGAUGUUAAGACCAGUUACCCCAAAAAUGUAGCAUAUAUGGUAAAAUAAUGACAGAUAAGCACACCACACGACAUUGACUAGCAAAGUUUCAAUGCCAGCUUCGGCUACAGGAAGCUUAGCAUGAAAUUUGAAUUAUCCAGAAGCUUCCUCAUAACAUGCAAGGCUUCUAAUAAAAAGUUACCAACAUCCUAAUUCAUACAUCUCAAAGUCACAUACAGAUUUUGUUUUAAUUGAUUUAGACAGAAGAGAUUAAUCUAAAGAGUAGUUAAUGGAGAGAUUUGAAAAGGAAAAACAGAAAGAUAGAUGCAACUAACUUGGUGCCAAACAAAUAAUUACUUAUAAAAAAGCCAACUCAGUGCAUGAGGCUCGCAUCUAGUGGAAUCUGGAGAGAAUAUAUGUAUAUAGUCUUAUCCCCACAAGCGGAGUGACAGUUUCUAAGAUUUGAAUCGGUGACCUAUUGUAUAGAAUUGAUCACUAAGACGCAACCUUACCAUCGCGCCGAGACAUUCCAAGAUUGGUCACUAAAAGACAACCUUACCAUCACGCCGAGGCUUUCCCUCUUGGUCACUAUACAUAUUAGAACAUAUAUUAAAUAGAUUCUACGGGUGAAUGAUGUAAACUCAAUUUAUCUAUAUUGCAGAAUCAGAUGUUUGGGCAAGACUCUAUGGAGUAAGACUCAAUUUCUAUAUACAUGACUAAAACCGAGCCAGUAUCAAAAUUUUAAGUACAAAAAUUAUGGAAAAUCACCAACAACAGAAAAACAAAUGUAAUCUCCCAUGUCUAUAUCUAAAUCAUCUAAUCACAUCUCUGUAUAUGCAGAUGCCAUGUAAGGUAAAAUACCAAAUGAGCUUUUGUACAGUGUCUUGAAAUAAUAUAAUAAUAGAGUCAGGUCACAGAUCGAAAGCAAAGUGUAAAAUUAACCAACAAAAAUAUCACAAGUGAAUCAAUAAUAGGAUGGUAGUAUGUCGUGAGGAGAGAGAAAAGCAGAGGAAAACCUUAGAUAGUGCAAAAAGUUGAGAGUGCAUGCCAUUUUGGUCUCGAUUAAAAUUGGGUCCAAGACGUUCCAUCAGAGCAACAAAACACCAAAAUGCCUCUGACUCAUCACCCAUCACAAACAAUAUUGGAGACAGAAGAUCACUCAUUCCCUGUAAAACAGCAAUAUAUAAAUUCCCUAACCAUGAGACAACAAUGCACAGCUGUUACCCAUUUUUUGGAUAGGAUGAAAGAGAGAAGACGGUAUAUGAAAACAAUUAAUGGACAGGAUGAUUCAUCGUUUCAGAAUGUAGUUUGGUUCAGAAAAAUAAUAGUUAUCAAGAUACUCCUCCCUAGCAGCAAUGAAUACAUAAUAUUAUUUGUUUACUCAAAUAAGUAAGCAUCCAUAGCAACCACACUCUCAUAUACAAUAAGAACAACAUUUUGGUGUUCUAGAUACAAGAUAUUUACAAAAUAAGUUUAAUCCUCAGAUCAACUGAUAUUGUACCUGACAAUAACCAAGAUCAAAGUUGUAGAAUGAAUAUGUCAACAGGAUAUCUCGCAAAACAUUUACAUUUGGAUUAUCAUCCCCAUCAUAGAAAGCGAGCGAUCUAUCGGUUCGAACCUUCAACAAAACAAACAGUUAAGACUACAUAAGCAUCAUUUAGCAGUUCAUUCGAAGGCAUUCUAACAUAGUAUCAGAUGCACUAGUUUCCUGCAUACCACGUCUUUCUCAAUAAGGCAUUUCCUUUCCCUGAAUUUUGUGAAUCUUUUAGCCUGUGCCAAGGAGAUACUCUACAGACAAAAGUACAUCAACAGAAUUAUAUUCUGAAAAGGGUUUAGUUGAGACUUGAGAGCAUAAAGAGUUACGGCAAAAAAAUAAUGUCAAAAGAGAUGCGGUAUCCAUAAUCACAAUUCAUUAUUACAAAAUAUUAAUUAGAAAAGAACAUAGACAACAAAAGAGAUGUGUCUUCAUCCAGGUUCAGGUCAUCAGAUUUGUCUAGUUGCCAGGUUCAGGUAGCACAAUGCAGAAUUCAGUUCAAUCGGUGUAGUAAUGACCCAGGAACAAUUAUUCAGGCAGGGGGGGAUGUAGGUGAUAUAAAAUUCAUCAGAUGCAGUGAAGUGUCUCACAAGCAGUUUAGCAAUCUUUGGUUGAAAUUUGACCCAUUCCCAUAUUAACACAUUAGAUACUGCAUAACCACCAGUCUUGCACCAGUCAGUUUUUGUUAAACUGUUGAAUGGAAAGCCCUUCCAGCGUGACAACAUUUUUUAUAUGUGAAACACAAGAAACUAAUGAUCUAGCAGAUGAUAAAAUG
rnacentral:lncRNA from 1 species